CGGGUCGUUGUUUGACAUGGAAUCGACGGCGGCGAUGCGUCGUCGCGGCACCAACCAACGGACGCGAGCUUUGAACAAGAUCGCAAGCGCGGGCCGUUUGACGAGACAGUCGCCGCAGCGGAUACAACACCUCGGUAAGAGUGCCUGGGCGGGCGGCCAGUUACCACAGAAGGGAUGCUGCGCAAGAGCAAGGGCCUGCUAAAAAACAUAGACAGCUGCUCAAGAGACAAGUGGUGGACAGCUUGCUGUGAAAGAUGGAAGCAUUCUUCCUGCAAGUCUGGACAAGGCCAUAUUAAAUGGCUUCAUCUGUCACAAAUCGCUGGCCACGAAUGUAAAGAACACCUUGGCCCCACUUCUGUCGAGGGAACCGAAGUUGCCUGAACAGAUGAAGAGCGGUGGUGCUACCAAUAGUGAACGACUGUGAUUUUAUAAUGUGCAAGUGUACGAACAAUCGCGUUACGCUAAUUUAACAUUAAUUGCAUUCACUAGUCAAGUGUUGCAAUAUUGUAAUGUGUAUGUUUAUGUGCAGUUGCAUUAAGUGAGCGCUCAAUCAAGCUUCAAGUUUGCAAUCCCAUAUUUUGGUGGUAUUCAUAGGGCGCACAUUCCACUUUAAAUUGUGAUCUGCUCCUUUACUGAGGGUGCAUGCAGGUCCUUGAAACGAUUGAAAACCCUUGAAAAAGUAAAAGUACAU